rnacentral:rRNA from 1 species
AGAUUGAACGCUAGCGGCAUGCCUAACACAUGCAAGUCGAACGGUAACAGGCCCUUCGGGGUGCUGACGAGUGGCGGACGGGUGAGUAAUGCGUAGGAAUCUACCCACGAGUGGGGGAUAGCCCGGAGAAAUCCGGAUUAAUACCGCAUAUGCCCUACGGGGUAAAGCGGGGGAUCGUAAGACCUCGCGCUGGUGGAUGAGCCUACGUCCGAUUAGUUAGUUGGUGGGGUAACGGCCUACCAAGGCGAUGAUGGGUAGCUGGUCUGAGAGGGCGCACGGACACACUGGAACUGAAACACGGUCCAGACUCCUACGGGAGGCAGC